CCUGGAGACCGGAAGUGAGACACUCGCGGAUUCCCAGUCGCUCCCAGGUUCAGGGUGGACUCGGACACUGGCAGCUCGGAGGCCUGUCAGGAGUCCCCCCAACCUGCCCCCAGUCCGCCCCACUGGAAGGGCCGACAGGUUUUGGCAAUUACGAGUAAAGCUGCUAUAAACAUUCCUGUACAGGCUUUUUUGUGGACGUAAGUUUCCAGCUCCUUUGGGGAGAUACCAAGGAACAUCAUUGCUGAGUCAUAUGAUUAAUGUGUUUACCAGAGAAGUGAAACACACUAGGAUUACAUAUCUGUGUCCAGCAACAAAUCUGACUACUCAGGACCACCGCGUGGUCAGGGAUGUCCAGCCAGUCCCAGAUGUCCCAGCCUUCGCAGGCCAGGCACCUGACAUGAGCAUGAGGAAGCCACAGUGAACAAUCCAGCCUUGGGAGACAAGCCAUGGAGGGGAAAUGAGGAACCCAGCUGCCAGCCAGGACAGACACUCCAGCUGGGUGGCCCCUAUGUGAGCCAUCUCAGCCACGGCCAGGUGCUAGAUCCACUCCAGCUGAGGCCCCAGCUGUCCUGGAGCAGGGGUGAGCAGUCCCCACUGUGCCCUGCCUGAUUUCCUGACCUAUAAAAUGAGCAUCAUUUCAAAUGAAUCAGCAUUCUCAUCUCAACAGACUCAGUUGGCAGAAAGAAAUCUAGAUGCUGUGAGAAGAGAGAAGGUGAAAGAACAGUUCAGAAGGAGUGGGAAAAGACAGGUGGAAGAGACACUGGAUAGUUUACUACAAUAUGACUACCUAUACCAUCAAAGGGCCCACUUACUAAAACAUCUGGAUCACAAUGUUCUAAAGUUAGGAAUGAGAGAAGUCAAGUUGUUCCACAUCUAAUCAGGUAUAACAGUAAUUCUUAACUUUUUUUGUGCCUUCGAGAAUAUGACAGUAAGAGUAGGCCCUAUGUCCAGAAAAAAAAAAAUGUACAUGAAGAACAGCUAGUCAUAAUACUCAAGAUGGAAUAGAGUUAGUCCCUUUGCUCUCCCAGACUUGCCACUGUCAUAGUAGGAUAGGGUUUUUUUCUUAAUGCUUUCUGUUCUCUUGAAACAAAAUAUUUUCAAGUCUAUUUUCAUAAUGAUGAUUCCCAAUAUUUUUUCCUGCUUAGCAAGUUUAAAAUUCUUUAAUUUUCAAGGUCAUGCAUAUCUAUUUUUGUAUGUGUCUGUUGUUAAAUGCAGCCACUAUUUUGUAACCUAAUUUUAGGCAUUGUCUCAAGUCUACAAGAAUCAUUCAAAAUGGUAUCUAGUGACAUUCCUACGACUUUAGACAAUAUUAUUAUUAUCGUGGAAUGUAGUUACUGGGUCCUAAGGAUUUAACAAGAUGCUGUUUACUGAAACUGAACUUCAUUGAAUCCUUUCUCAUUCCACUGUGGUUUCCACAUUUCAGUAUAUUUCCUAUUUUUGUCCCCCAAACCUUACUUAUAUCUUUUAAACAAUUAAAUACAAUCAUCCCUGCUUCCCUGAUUUUUGAGGUGACCUUUUUCUCCUGGUAUCCUUUUAAUAAAGGAAAAUACUCCCUCUGGUCUUUUUUUGGUCUCUUAUGUGACUAAAGGGUUUGUAAAUGGUCACACAUUUUGCACCUACAUGUCAUUUUCUUCUUAAUUUUUCAAAUUCUUUCCCCCCAAAGUUGUUGCUAUUUCUGUUAACUAUUUGGAGGAACAAAUAGUUCCCAUCUUCCACUUUUGUGACAUACCUAUUUAUACUUGAGCUCCUUG